GGGGAAUAUUGCACAAUGGGCGAAAGCCUGAUGCAGCAACGCCGCGUGAGGGAUGACGGCCUUCGGGUUGUAAACCUCUUUUAGUAGGGAAGAAGCGUAAGUGACGGUACCUGCAGAAAAAGCACCGGCUAACUACGUGCCAGCAGCCGCGGUAAUACGUAGGGUGCAAGCGUUGUCCGGAAUUAUUGGGCGUAAAGAGCUCGUAGGCGGCUUGUUGCGUCUGCUGUGAAAUCCCGGAGUUCAACUCCGGGCCUGCAGUGGGUACGGGCAGGCUAGAGUGCGGUAGGGGAGAUUGGAAUUCCUGGUGUAGCGGCGGAAUGCGCAGAUAUCAGGAGGAACAUUGAUGGCGAAGGCAGAUCUCUGGGCCGCUACUGACGCUGAGGAGCGAAAGCAUGGGGAGCGAAC
rnacentral:rRNA from 1 species